UGUGCGCGUCGCGACUGGCGCAACGGGUGGGUCACCACCGGGGAGCGACGAGCAGCAGCAGACUUCGGGUCGGACGCCUGGGCCCCCGGU
rnacentral:ncRNA from 2 species